ensembl:lncRNA
AACAAAACAAAAUGACAAAUUAAAACAAGACAAAAUGACAAACCAGACAAAAAAGACACAAAAUUAUCAAAUUAAUAUACAAAACAACAAAAAACAAGACAGUGACACAAAUGAAACACAGAAAGACACGAAAGUUACAAAAAACAACAAAAGUGAAAAACAAAAUGACCAAAAACGACACAAGUGGGACACAAAACAACAAAAUAUAGACACAAAAUGACCAAACUGAGAAACGAAACAACAAAAAACUACACAAAAUGACAAAAAACUACAAACCAGACAGAAAACAAGAAAAAAAGACACAAAAUGACAAAAAAUAUUAAAACUAUCAAGAAAAUAGACAGAAAUGACCCAAAUGUCUCACAAAUUGAAAAAUUUAGACACAAAACAACAAAAAACAAAACAAAGUGACGAAACAAAAUCACUUAAAUGUAUUUAGUAUGCCUUGUAAACUGCUUGAAAAAAUAAAAUAAGAAGCAUUUAAUGUUGAUAAAACUCAUGAUUUUUUUCUCUGUUCUUCCUCCAGAACAACAUUGCUGAUUAAUUUCACAUCUAAUUAUUAAAUACAGUAGAAAAUAAAUCUGGUUUCAGCUCCAGAGAGUCUUAAUUGAGUCUUUAAACGUCCGUUAGAGGCAAUAGAAACACUAAAAUCAGCUUUUAUCAAAACCAACACAAAGAAAAUAAUCAGAAAAUAAAUAAACGUGGAUCGUUCCAGUGUUCGUCUCGUUUUGUCGUCCAAACAGUCUUUUCUGUCCAUUAACAACCCAUCUGUUCCCUUUCACUGGUCCGGUUCUGUCCUUUAGGUCCGGUUCUGUCCUUCAGGUCCGGUUCUGUCCUUCAGGUCCGGUUCUGUCCUUUAGGUCCAGUUCUGUCCUUCAGGUCCGGUUCUGUCCUUCAGGUCCGGUUCUGUCCUUUAGGUCCGGUUCUGUCCUUUAGGUCCGGUUCUGUCCUUUAGGUCCAGUUCUGUCCUUCAGGUCCGGUUCUACCCGUCAGGUCCGGUUCUGUCCUUUAGGUCCGGUUCUGUCCUUUAGGUCCGGUUCUGUCUUGGGACUACAGCAGUCAUUAUUAUUAUUAUUAACUAUUGUGAUUAUUUGGUUUAUAAAGUGUCAGAAAACAGUGAAAACAUCAGAAUUUUG